rnacentral:siRNA from 1 species
AACCGUGGAGUUCUCUCAGGACGU